rnacentral:lncRNA from 1 species
ACUUGAAACACUCUUUUUGUGGAAUUUGCAAGUGGAGAUUUCAGCCGCUUUGAGGUCAAUGGUAGAAAAGGAAAUAUCUUCGUAUAAAAACUAGACAGAAUGAUUCUCAGAAACUCCUUUGUGAUGUGUGCGUUCAACUCACAGAGUUUAACCUUUCUUUUCAUAGAGCAGUUAGGAAACACUCUGUUUGUAAAGUCUGCAAGUG